CAUUGUAUUUUUUUUUUUUUUUUUUUUGUCGUAUCUGUAGCACUGUGAUAACACGCUGCCUAAGGUUAUGUAGCUUAGUUAGUGUAGCUGAAAAGCUAUCUGACAUUAGUUCCGUCCGCAGCAGAGAGUUGCAUUGUGACUUGGAGGAAGGAAGGAAACGGAGAAAAGUUGGUUCGCUGCGUACAACUCACUGCCUUUCGUGAAGAAGGUAGCACAGUUUUGGACUCUCAUAUUCACACCGUGACGCAUUUAGGAACGGUGACUAAAGCUUGGUACCCUCUGUGAUAUUUCACAAUGUUGAGUUUGUUAGAUAUGUCGUCGCUUAUUAUAGCUAGGUGUUAGCAACAGGACUUUUUCGGUUAGCUGCGCCGUAGACGAGAGCUCAGCUAGCCAAAAAGCUACAAACUUGGGAGGAAGUCGCGUAAAUUCUGGUCUAGCUUGUUAAUGAUUGAGGAACCGGGCUGAUUGGGGGUUUCAAACACUCAGUCAACCUGACCAAGUACUAGUUUGGCCAGAUAUUUACCUCAUGGCAUCGGAAGUGAUAGAAGGUGAAGCGGUGUUGACGGGUUUGACUGAUAUUAAUUUGAACAAUAGCAGCCCAGAUGUAGUCACACCCAGCAGAAGUUCCGAAAACAUGGACAAUAGGGAGACGUCUAGCCCGUCAUCUUCCGGAGUGUCGGGAGAUGACGAGGAUUUAAACGAGUUACAGACAAGUGCAGCCUCUGUUGUUGAAAAUGACAAAGAGUCGGGAGAAAGUCCAACCAAAACAAAAGAAGUGUCGCAGAAACGGACGGGUAAUGUGCAGAUACAGCCGGCAGGAAGGAUGGUCUCUACCCCAGUAACCCUUCACCAGUCACCGUUAACUCCUGAACCCACUGGAAGUCUUGAGCGUCAAGAGUCGGUCACCACAACAGAGGCCCGUUUAAGAAUGGAAGGAGUUGAACUGAAGGAAGAGUGGCAAGAUGAGGAUUUUCCACGGCCUCUCCCAGAGGAAGAGGAGCUGGAAGAGGAGCUUUUUGCGGGAGCCUCAGAAGAAAGAGAUCCUGGCUAUACAGUGAAGCACGACAAGAAACCACGGAAAAGACUUUCUGCUCCUACAAUCAACCUUGCACUUGACCGCAGUGAAGGUUCCAUCCUGUCCGAUGAGCUGGACGAAAGCACAGAGCUGGACCUGGACGACAUCGACACGCCGUCCGACAACAGCAAUGAGUUUGAAUGGGAAGAUGAUCUUCCCAAGCCCAAAGCUACAGAGCUGCUUCAGAAAGGCGUUCAAUCCGUUCCAGAGUUCUCAGCCUCUGAGGAGCGCGAGGAAGGUCGGCGCUGGAGAGUGUUCCGGAUUGGAGACCAAGAUCACAGGGUGGAUAUGAAAGCCAUUGAACCUUACAAAAGAGUUAUCAGCCAUGGAGGUUACUAUGGGGACGGUUUGAAUGCCAUAAUUGUGUUUGCUGUUUGCUUCAUGCCGGAGAGUAAUCAGCCAAAUUACAGAUCCAUCAUGGACAAUUUAUUUAAGUAUGUCAUUGGAACACUGGAGCUCCUGGUUGCUGAGAACUAUAUGAUUGUGUAUUUAAACGGGGCCACUUCACGGAAAAAGAUGCCGACCGUCGGCUGGCUCCGAAAGUGUUAUCAACAGAUUGACAGGAGAUUACGGAAGAACCUUAAGUCUUUGAUAAUCGUGCACCCCUCGUGGUUCAUCCGCACCCUCUUGGCAAUCACUAAACCUUUCAUAAGCUCUAAAUUUACCCAGAAAAUCAAGUAUGUUUACAGCUUGACGGACCUUGCUGAACUUGUCCCGAUGGAGUAUGUGUCAAUACCAGAUUGUAUCAAACAUAAUGUCCAUUAACCAUCCCUCACUGAACACCACCCAACCUGUUUACUCCCCUGUGCAUGACUUGCUCCACUGCUUUUCCCUGCCGAUGUUUGAUGAUUGUUAGAGGUCUUUAGCUGGGUGGGCACAUCGAUAAUAAAUAUCAGAAUCGACCAGGAAAUGCACAGCAAAGUAGGGAUUGCUGCCUCUGCUGCUCCGAAGUGACUCUGCAAGACGUGCAAAAAACGUUGGGAACUGCAGUCGCAUCCAUGUUUUUCUUCAGAAUGAUCUGUAAACGCAUCUUGCAUCAUGAAAGUGGCUUUUUGAAGAUUUCCUGCCUGUUACAUCAUCAUGUCUUUUUUUUUGGGCUGUAUGUUUGUAUCAAGCCGUUUAAUGCUCUGUUUUUUGGAAUGUUUUUAAUCCUUUUAUUUACCCCCGUCUGUUAUGUCACCUUUGGGUUAUUGGUGUUCAUUCGUUUCUGUUGUAUCUUCACCGCUAAAGUCACUCUGUUACAAGUGGUUAAUGCAUGUUCUGCUUUAUUACAUUUAAAUAUAUAUAUUUAUAUUCAAAUGGUGUCAAAGGAGAGAGAUUAAUAUAUUUGUAUGGUCUGCUUUUUAAAUGGAAUUUUAGGUCUCUGAGUCGUAGAGUUUCAUAGAAAGCCUUUUGAAUGGACCUUUUUUGCCAGUGCCUACUGCUGACGAUCUCAAAUCGUGCCUGGAGAAAAUAACCUUUUUUUUUUUUUGGGGCCACAUUUUAGUCAAAACGUCGUUAUGCCACUUUUCUCAUCAAUGGUCACAAGUAUGUUGCGUAUGGAACUGGACAUAAAAGCAGAAAUCUUCAAACCAAACCAGCAUGUCAUGCACAUUCCUGGCCAACAAAAGGAGUCCGACAACAAAUUACAGGACUUCCUGAUUGUAACCGUGUUCUUGAAUGCGCCCUCUAGUGGUGGAUGGGUAUUUGUGAGCACAAUCUCGUCAUUAUUUUUACCAAAGUAAAGACAAUAAGUCACA